rnacentral:rRNA from 1 species
GAUAAGGAGCUUGCUCCUUUGACGUUAGCGGCGGACGGGUGAGUAACACGUGGGUAACCUACCUAUAAGACUGGAAUAACUCCGGGAAACCGGGGCUAAUGCCGGAUAACAUUUAGAACCGCAUGGUUCUAAAGUGAAAGAUGGUUUUGCUAUCACUUAUAGAUGGACCCGCGCCGUAUUAGCUAGUUGGUAAGGUAACGGCUUACCAAGGCAACGAUACGUAGCCGACCUGAGAGGGUGAUCGGCCACACUGGAACUGAGACACGGUCCAGACUCCUACGGGAGGCAGCAGUAGGGAAUCUUCCGCAAUGGGCGAAAGCCUGACGGAGCAACGCCGCGUGAGUGAUGAAGGUCUUCGGAUCGUAAAACUCUGUUAUUAGGGAAGAACAAAUGUGUAAGUAACUGUGCACGUCUUGACGGUACCUAAUCAGAAAGCCACGGCUAACUACGUGCCAGCAGCCGCGGUAAUACGUAGGUGGCAAGCGUUAUCCGGAAUUAUUGGGCGUAAAGCGCGCGUAGGCGGUUUCUUAAGUCUGAUGUGAAAGCCCACGGCUCAACCGUGGAGGGUCAUUGGAAACUGGGAAACUUGAGUGCAGAA